AGCAUCAAGGUGGUCCACCAGGUUUUCAGAAGAAUUUUUCCAGGAUAGGUCCAUCACAAAUAAACCAAUCAUUGGCUCCACCUAUUCCUACUUAUAGUGCCCCUAUCCCUCAGCAAACUACAUCAUUGGAAGCCAUGAUGGCUAACAUGAUGAAGCAGCAACAAGACUUCAUCCAAUAGCAACAACAGACCAACAUGGCUCAAACCCAG
rnacentral:lncRNA from 1 species